rnacentral:rRNA from 1 species
UACGAAGGGGACUAGCGUUGUUCGGAAUUACUGGGCGUAAAGCGCACGUAGGCGGAUUUGUAAGUCAGGGGUGAAAUCCCGGGGCUCAACCUCGGAACUGCCUUUGAUACUGCAAAUCUCGAGUCCGAUAGAGGGUGGGUGGAAUUCCUAGUGUAGAGGUGAAAUUCGUAGAUAUUAGGAAGAACACCGGUGGCGAAGGCGGCCCACUGGAUCGGUACUGACGCUGAGGUGCGAAAGCGUGGGGAGCAAACAGG